UACGUAGGGGGCACGCGUUGUCCGGAAUCAUUGGGCGUAAAGAGCGUGUAGGCGGCCCGGUAAGUCCGCUGUGAAAGUCCAGGGCUCAACCCUGGGAUGCCGGUGGAUACUGUCGGGCUCGAGUCCGGAAGAGGCGAGUGGAAUUCCUGGUGUAGCGGUGAAAUGCGCAGAUAUCAGGAGGAACACCAAUGGCGAAGGCAGCUCGCUGGGACGUGACUGACGCUGAGACGCGAAAGCGUGGGGAGCAAACAGG
rnacentral:rRNA from 1 species